UACAGAGGGUGCAAGCGUUAAUCGGAAUUACUGGGCGUAAAGCGUGCGUAGACGGUUAUGUAAGUCGGGUGUGAAAGCCCCGGGUUCAACCUGGGAAUGCCAUUCGAGACUGCAUAGCUAGGGUGCGGAAGAGGGAAGCGGAAUUUCCGGUGUAGCGGUGAAAUGCGUAGAUAUCGGAAGGAACACCAGUGGCGAAAGCGGCUUCCUGGUCCAGCACCGACGUUCAGGCACGAAAGCGUGGGGAGCAAACAGG
rnacentral:rRNA from 1 species